rnacentral:lncRNA from 1 species
CUAAUUUCACCUUGCUACAUGUUCAACAUGAUUCUUGAUUUUAAGGUUAUGUUAAGUUCAAUGGAAAGCUGAUGUUCGAUACUGUUGAUUCUCAUUAAAACUCCAAGCAACUGAAUCAUAUCAUACUAGUGCUAUUUGUUGUACAAUUUGUUUUCUACUGUUUUUCUCAUUUGAUUGCACAACAUUGCAGCUUGAACGAAUCUUCUCCUGCGAAGUCCAUUGUCAAUACAUCAAACUUAGAAUACCAAAUGACAGUCAGGUUAGCAUCUCAUCAAUUUCGAUCUUUCAUCUUCUUUCUAUACCAUGUGUCUGUCUAACUUCAUUAGAUUUAUUAUAUGGUGACUAAUGUCUAAUGUUAGCAUAAUUCUUUUUCUUUUUUAUUCCUUUUCCUCUCCUAAUUUCAUAUAUUGUCUGCAGGAUCAAUUUUCAAGCAAGUAUCAAAAGUUCAUGGAAAAAAUUGACGAAUUUGUGAGUCAUUUUUCCUCAACAUAUCAGGCUUUUCUUCCAGAUAUUGUUAUUGUUUCUGCUUAUGUUCUAAUCUUUCACUGUAUGAUGGAUGUGUAUGCAGGAACUACCUGAGAAGCUUUCCUGCUUUAUUAUUUUUGGUGUAAGAGUUAAUAUUAUUAUUAAUUUUUGUUGUUGCUCCUAAUAUUUUUGUGAUUUAAACCUUAUUUCCGGUCUUUGAUUUCUAAUUUUGCUUCUUAAAUGAAUAGGAAUGAUCUAUUUUCGUUUAUUCUGAUAAACUGUGGUCAACAUAUAAAAUGAAGAAUCUUGUGAAUUGGUGUCUUCUUGGUGAGGAACCUUUUGAACAAGAUAAUUUUUAUGAAUUGUCACUUGAUGAUGAUGAUGAUUAAAGCACUGAUUCGGUGAAGAUUACACCAAAAGAUUAGAUUAUGUGUUUACGCCGCUCUAGUUUGCUGCUUUCUCUAUUUGGGUAGAAAACAUUUUCCCGAUUCUAGUAUGAGCGAGUCAAUGCGGUUUCUUUCUCUCAUUCCAUGUUAAUUUUUAGUCUGUUCCCUGUAGCACUAACUACUGCCAAUUCUAUGUCUUUUGCCCAUUUUCCCCUCUUGCUGCCCGUAUUUGAACUGCAUUUUAAGAACUCUGAAAGCCCAUCUCUAUUAUGUUGCUUUCUUGACCUAAUAAAAGCAGGUCUCAUUUAAACUACGCUUUGCAUCAUCUAAAGUGUAAAGCCACACUUCCGUACACCAAGCACCUCAUUUGGACUGUGAUUUUCCCACAAUUUGUGUUCCAUGUUAAAUAAUAAAUACUAUCAAGUUAUCAUCUAAGACAAGAGACAUCCAAAAAAAAAACUAAGACAAGAGACACUACAUGAGGUCGGGUACAGUGUUCUUCACCAACUACACAAACUAUAUCAUUCCAUUUCCUUUCUUCUUACCUGUCCAUUGUCAAGAACAAACAUAUACUCGGACACAGAUGGGGAGGAGACGGCAUUGGCAAAAUGAUGAACAGAGCUGCCAGAGCAUACCUUUUUGCUUUCCUUGCUUAAGCUUGACGCUCUUCUUCACGAUGAACUUCUUAGAACCUUUCUUCCUCCCUUGAGAUUCUACUGCAACCAUAAACACACUCGUAUCAGCUCCAUCAAAUUAAAAAUAAAACCAUACAAAGUAGCACUUGGUUAUAUUGCUAAACCCGGUAGUAAAUUGUAUACUACUAACACUAGGAUACACCCAACUUUUAUCGUUCUCAUAAACACCAAAUUUGCGUCUACUCGUUUAAUAAAUCACCGAAACAAGUUGACGGGAUAGAAUGAGAAAGCGUUGAUUAGUCUCUGCUAAGUAAGAAGUAUGAAUAUUACACAAAGCGCGAGAAACAGUAGCAUUACUAGCAUACCAUUAUCGGCAGCAGCCAUUCAUGCAGUACUAGGUGCAGUAGCAUAUUCAUACCAUUAGUCAUAACAGAAAAGAUGCACAAGUGACAUGUUUGAGUCGUUUGACUGAGCUUGUAGAACAACUUGUAAUUUAAAGCAUUGAUGCUAGAGUUUACUGUACCAGGUGCAUAAGGAAUAGCACAGGCAACUCCAUUUGAACUAAAUCCAGUGAGAGGCACACUAGUCUGAACUCUGGAGUGGAUUCAAAAUAGCGCGCCGACAUUAUUUAUAACCAUUGCAUUCAAAGAUGAGAAGAGACUCCCAUUCAAACUCAGCAGAUAAAAACAAUUAUAGUCUCACUUCUUACAUACCAUACUAAUAAUACCAUAUUUCCCUCUGAUAAUAUUUUCCUGGCGUGAGCAUAUUCACUAGCUAGGAAGGCCAGCUAAAACCAAAAUAUUGAUACCCUGAUCUGAUAUACUAACACCAACAACAGCUAAUUGAUUUCUGACAUUUAUAAACCGCAACACAGACUUGUUAUAGAAUCUGAGGAUUCUGAUCCUUUUUGUAUACUUUGCAAAGCAGACUUCAAUCCCAUAAAUUUGAAAAUCAAAAUUUGGUGCAUACUGUUGUUUGAGAGUGGUCCAUACAUCCUUGGAAGAUAAUCACACUCAAUUGCCAAUAUAAGAGCAGUGUUGGUAAGAGUUGUUGAUGAGAGAGCCAUCAUCACCAUCAAGGAAUUGGGGUGGACAGAGAUGAAAAACUUCAUUAAGCCAACGAGGAAGAACAACUAAAUUGAUAUUCUCUGUUAAUUUUACAAAGGGAAGAGAGUCCUCUUUAUAUGCUGACUUUACUAUAAUCUCUGUUGACUUUGACAUAUUCUGUUAACAAUGGGACACAUUAACUAAUACCUUCGGAUUCAUGUAUUGAAGAUGUGCCGGUGAUGCUCUGCUUGUACAUGUCUACUUUCUGUAAACAUUUUGUCUUCUUUGUUGUCUCCUCUCUCUCUUCUCCUUCUCGGGUUUUCUUGGGUCUUUUGUUGAAAUUAAGAAGACUAGGCAGCCCACACACAUCUGUCCUUUGAAUCAAAGUCAUCUCUGUUUCAGGCGGUGUAUCUAUAUCAGUGAUCUUUAAAAUCGAUUUUUUGUAACACCCGUAGCAAUUUUACAAACAGGCUCUUCCUUCAAAUAUGGUCCUAAAAAUUCUUUUAUUGUGUUCACCACGUCAACCUGGAGCUUAUCAUACCCUCCGUCUAUUUGAGAUAAUCGUUUACAAGUUUUAGACGUAGGAUCAUAAACUUGUUGAAAUGUGAACGCUAGAAUAGCCCUGUCAAAGUGUUCUAGAAUAUCCGUUUUCGAAGUUGUAUCUCGGGUUUUCCCCUUCCCAUUUGUAAUCUUCAGCUUCUCGUACCUAAUUACAUCUUUGUAACUUCCAUGAUUCCGUAUUAGUUUGGGAGCUUUUUCAAUGCCUAUGCCAGCCCCAUUCGGAUAUAAUCACAACCGAUUAUUAUACACAUUUCCGAAAGCAUCCUUGCUAUAUGCAUGUUUUUCCAACUAGAAAGUGAACUGGGAUGAUGAUAGUUCUUUCAUUCUCACAAAUAGACUCACCUAUCACAUUGUCUUUGAUACUAUGAGAGUUUAGUUUGAGAGCAUACGUACAAUUUUAUUAUUAGUUGAAUCUUCUUUAAUUUCUUCUAGUAUCUCAUAUAUUUAAUCAAAGUAGCAUUAUAAGGAUAUACAAGAACUAAUGCAGAAAUGAGGGGCAGAGGUGUACAUAUGGGCUGGUAUCAUCAGAUGAAAAUGAAUGAUGUUCAUCAUACAUAUUGGGUAGAUUUAGGAAUGCAAUAUGAAUAUAAAGAUUUCAUGCACAAUGUUGGCGUUUUUCCAUUCCAUCACACUAUUCUUCGAUUCCCAUAUCACAUGUACAUCAAUCAAUCUUAAAUUCUCAUGAUCACAUGAUGCAGGGAGCGUGGCAUUGGAAUAGUUCCAUAUAGUCCUCUUGGUCGUGGUUUCUUCGCAGGCAAAGCAGUUGUCGAAAGUUUGGAUCCAAAUGUUCAUGGGGUACAAAUCGUUUUCUCCCUUACACUGAUAUCUUCUCAAAUUCUAUGACAAACUUAGAACACGUACACGUAUAGAGCAUGAUAUAGGGUAUAGUAGGUGUGAUUUUAACAUUCUGCCGUUUUGUAUUUUUUUGGAUGACCAUCUCUCCGGUACGUUCCUCGAUUCCCUGCUCAUCUUUGCUUUUGAUUGAAAUCAAUGUCGAAUGCGUAGUCGAUUUUAGGGUUUAGGGUUUAGGGUUUGGGGUAUAGUAGGUGUGAUUUUAACGUUCUGCACUGACUGAAGUAGUUCCUGCUACCUUGUAUAUAUGAUGGAAUAAUUCUUAUGCCCUUUGGAAUUGUAGCACGCACAGUUCACUGUUUAAUUUACAGAUAACUGCGUCCUGUGACUUUGAUCGAGUCAUUAUGGGAAUUGUAUUACUUGAACUGACUUGUUUUGUUUCCGGUUUUGGUUUUGUACCACUUGUACGUAUGUCUUUUGAAUAACAAUAAUGAAUGAAUGCAUAUUUCUCAUAUAUAUAGUUGAAAUUCAUUUGUGCAGAAGAAGAGGAUCUAUGCCAAGUCUGGGAAACAAAGGUGGAACCACUCUUUAAACGUUAUCGCCUUAAAUGCCAAUUGAAUUGGGAUGAGCGUAAGAUGACUGUGGGUACAAAAACAGCCAUCCUCGAGGACUGUGGGAUCCUUAACAGGGGUUCUAACUCGUGGUUUCAGCACUGAAUGUGUACGUACGCAUCUCACAUCCUUUCUCUAAUUUCACCUUGCUACAUGUUCAAUAUGAUUCUUGAGUUUAAGGUUAUGUCAAGUUCAAUGAAAAGCUGAUGUUCAAUACUGUUGAUUCUCAUCAAAACUCCAAGCAACUGAAUCAUAUCAUACUUGUUCUUUUUGUUGAAGGUACAAUUUGUUUUCUACUAUUUUUCUCAUUUGAGUGCACAACAUUGCAGCUUGAGCGAAUCUUCUCCUGUGAAGUCCAUUGUCAAUACAUGAAUCUUUCGAAUACCACAUAAGAUGAGUCAGGUUGGCAUCUCAUCGAUUUCGAUCUUUCAUCUUUUUAUGCCAUGUGUCUGUCUAACUUCAUUAGAUUUGCAAUAUGGUGACUAAAGUCUAAUGUUAGCAUCUUUCUUUUUUUAUUCCUUUUCCUCUCCUAAUUUUAUAUAUUGUUUGCAGGAUGAUUUUUCAGCAAGUAUCAAAAGUUCGUGGAAAAAAUUGACGAAUUUGUGAGUCAUUUUUCCUAAUAAAUCUGGCUUUUCUUCCA